UGAGGUAGUAAGUUGUAUUGU
rnacentral:ncRNA from 3 species